rnacentral:rRNA from 1 species
AGAGUUUGAUCAUGGCUCAGAACGAACGCUGGCGGCAGGCUUAACACAUGCAAGUCGAACGCUCGUAGCAAUACGGGAGUGGCAGACGGGUGAGUAACGCGUGGGAACAUACCCUCCGGUUCGGAAUAGCACAGGGAAACUUGGAUUAAUACCGGAUACGGCUGAGAGGCGAAAGAUUUAUCGCCGGAGGAUUGGCCCGCGUUCGAUUAGCUUGUUGGUGAGGUAACGGCUCACCAAGGCGAUGAUCGAUAGCUGGUCUGAGAGGAUGAUCAGCCACAUUGGGACUGAGACACGGCCCAAACUCCUACGGGAGGCAGCAGUGGGGAAUAUUGGACAAUGGGCGCAAGCCUGAUCCAGCCAUGCCGCGUGAGUGAUGACGGCCUUAGGGUUGUAAAGCUCUUUCGCUCGGGACGAUAAUGACGGUACCGAGAUAAGAAGCCCCGGCUAACUUCGUGCCAGCAGCCGCGGUAAUACGAAGGGGGCUAGCGUUGUUCGGAAUUACUGGGCGUAAAGCGCGUGUAGGCGGGUCUUUAAGUCAGGGGUGAAAUGCCAAGGCUCAACCUUGGAACUGCCUUUGAUACUGGAGAUCUUGAGUCCGGGAGAGGUGAGUGGAAUUGCGAGUGUAGAGGUGAAAUUCGUAGAUAUUCGCAAGAACACCAGUGGCGAAGGCGGCUCACUGGCCCGGAACUGACGCUGAGACGCGAAAGCGUGGGGAGCAAACAGGAUUAGAUACCCUAGUAGUCC